rnacentral:rRNA from 1 species
ACGCUGGCGGCAGGCCUAACACAUGCAAGUCGAGCGGAAACGACAACAUUGAAUCUUCGGAGGAUUUAAUGGGCGUCGAGCGGCGGACGGGUGAGUAAUGCCUAGGAAAUUGCCUUGAUGUGGGGGAUAACCAUUGGAAACGAUGGCUAAUACCGCAUAAUGCCUACGGGCCAAAGAGGGGGAUCUUCGGACCUCUCGCGUCAAGAUAUGCCUAGGUGGGAUUAGCUAGUUGGUGAGGUAAUGGCUCACCAAGGCGACGAUCCCUAGCUGGUCUGAGAGGAUGAUCAGCCACACUGGAACUGAGACACGGUCCAGACUCCUACGGGAGGCAGCAGUGGGGAAUAUUGCACAAUGGGCGAAAGCCUGAUGCAGCCAUGCCGCGUGUAUGAAGAAGGCCUUCGGGUUGUAAAGUACUUUCAGUUGUGAGGAAGGGUGUGUAGUUAAUAGCUGCGCAUCUUGACGUUAGCAACAGAAGAAGCACCGGCUAACUCCGUGCCAGCAGCCGCGGUAAUACGGAGGGUGCGAGCGUUAAUCGGAAUUACUGGGCGUAAAGCGCAUGCAGGUGGUUCAUUAAGUCAGAUGUGAAAGCCCGGGGCUCAACCUCGGAACUGCAUUUGAAACUGGUGAACUAGAGUGCUGUAGAGGGGGGUAGAAUUUCAGGUGUAGCGGUGAAAUGCGUAGAGAUCUGAAGGAAUACCAGUGGCGAAGGCGGCCCCCUGGACA